UUUGAAAUACUACAAAACCCAGUAAAAGAAUCAAAUAUCAUGUUCCGGACCUACAAAAAGAUGUACCUUGAGAAGAGAAGCAGAAGCCUCGGGAGUAGUCCAGUUAAAUAGUCCCAGGAAGUCAUGGUUUUUGUUUUUACCAAGAGAACACCCCUAGUCUUUUCUUUUCAGGCUCCCUUGCAGAAAAUACCUCAGGACAGUCACAUCGGGAUUUCUCAGCCAAGGAGUUCCUGUAUAGCUUUUCACUGAUACUAUGUGACUGAAAUGUUGGAUUAGCUGCUGGUGAGCAGGCAAAAAGAAAGAUUGCAUUUGUCUGGGAAUUACAAAGUGUAUGCUAAUGAUGCAGUGAUCUGCAUUGUUGAACUGUGUUUACUGGGUUUUUUGUUUUGUUUUCUUUUUUUUUUUUUUUUUUUGAGACAGGGUUUCUCUGUAGCCCUUGCUGUCCUGGAACUCACUCUGUAGUCCAAGCUGGCCUUGAACUCAGAGAUCCACCUGCCUCUGCCUCCCGAGUGCUGGGAUUAAAGGCCUGCACCACCACGCCUGGUUCACGUUUACUGUUUUAAGUCUUGCUGGCACAGUGGUGCAUACCUGUGACCCUAACAUUUGACUCGUGGACACAAGAGGAUCAAGAAUUCAGGGUCAUUCUCAACAGAAUAGUGAGUCUGGUGAAGUCAGCUUAGGCUACAUGGGAGCCUCUCUCUAAAAGCAAAACAACAGCAACCAAAAAAGGGGAAUGAGGGUGGCUUAUACAAACCUUACUUUGAAAUGCUGUCAUCCUGAGGUAACUUGGUUGUUUGACUGGGGCUGUAAAUAGAUUCUUGUUUCUAAGCACAUUAGCAAAAUUUAUUUUUCAGAAAGUGCCCAUUGUGAAUGUCAAAGUAUAUUCCAAGUAUUUUGUACCUCAUUGUAAAGGUUUUUUCAGAAGUCUUGUUUUAUACUUUUGUUAAAGUGAAUGGAGUUUUUGGAAGAUGUCUUAACAUUACUUUUCAUACUUGAAAUAAACAUUUAUUUUUU
rnacentral:lncRNA from 1 species